rnacentral:rRNA from 1 species
UAGGGAAUCUUCCGCAAUGGACGCAAGUCUGACGGAGCAACGCCGCGUGAGUGAAGAAGGAUUUCGGUUCGUAAAACUCUGUUGUUAGAGAAGAACAGCGCAUAGAGUAACUGUUAUGCGUGUGACGGUAUCUAACCAGAAAGCCACGGCUAACUACGUGCCAGCAGCCGCGGUAAUACGUAGGUGGCAAGCGUUGUCCGGAUUUAUUGGGCGUAAAGCGAGCGCAGGCGGGCAAUUAAGGCUGAUGUGAAAGCCCCCGGCUCAACCGGGGAGGGUCAUUGGAAACUGGUUGACUUGAGUGCAGAAGAGGAGAGUGGAAUUCCAUGUGGAGCGGUGAAAUGCGUAGAUAUAUGGAGGAACACCAGUGGCGAAGGCGACUCUCUGGUCUGUAACUGACGCUGAGGCGCGAAAGCGUGGGUAGCAAAAAGG